CGUUCGAGCAGCGUCGUGUCGCGGUCCGGGACUGUCCUCAGUCCCGGGUCGUCUCGGCGCGGUUCCGAGCGGUCGCUCCCUCGCGAGGUGCCGCGGGUCAGCGGCUGACGCCAGCCACCUUCCCGACCCGUCUUGAAACACGGACCAAGGAGUCUAACAUGUGCGCGAGCCGCGGGGCAGUACGAAACCCGUAAGGCGAAAUGAAGGUGAACGCCGGCGCGGUCCGGCGGAGGUUGGAUCCCGUCCCGUCGGGGCGGGCGCACUACCGGCCGAUCUUCUCCGCCCUGUCGGCGAGGUCGAGCGAGAGCGUGCAAGUCGGGACCCGAAAGAUGGUGAACUAUGCCUGAGGAGGUUGAAGCCAGAGGAGGCUCUGGUGGAGGACCGUAGCGAUUCUGACGUGCAAAUCGAUCGUCAAAUUUGGGUAUAGGGGCGAAAGACUAAUCGAACCGUCUAGUAGCUGGUUCCCUUCGAAGUUUCCCUCAGGAUAGCUGGCGCUCUGUCGCAGUUUUAUCUGGUAAAGCGAAUGAUUAGAGGUCUUGGGGGCGAAACGCCCUCAACCUAUUCUCAAACUUUAAAUUGGUAAGAAGCCCGACUCGCUCGUUUGGAGCCGGGCAUGGAAUGCGAGUGCCAAGUGGGCCACUCUUGGUAAGCAGGACUGGCGAUGCGGGAUGAACCGAACGCCGGGUUAAGGCGCCCGACGCGACGCUCAUCAGAGCCCACAAAAGGUGUUGGUUGAUAUAGACAGCAGGACGGUGGCCAUGGAAGUCGGAAACCGCUAAGGAGUGUGUAACAACUCACCUGCCGAAUCAAUCAGCCCUGAAAAUGGAUGGCGCUGGAGCGUCGGGCCUAUACCCGGCCGUCGCGGCGGUACGAGCAUCGAGUUGGUGCGCUAGGCCGCGACGAGUAGGAGGGCCGCGGCGGCGGGCGUAGAAGCCUAGGGCGCGAGCCCGGGUGGAGCAGCCGUCGGUGCAGAUCUUGGUGGUAGUAGCAAAUAUU
rnacentral:ncRNA from 1 species